rnacentral:rRNA from 1 species
ACUCAAAUGAAUUGACGGGGGCCCGCACAAGCGGUGGAGCAUGUGGUUCAAUUCGACGCAACGCGAAGAACCUUACCAGCUCUUGACAUGUCCAGUAUGGGGCCGAGAGAUCGGCUUCUUCAGUUCGGCUGGCUGGAACACAGGUGCUGCAUGGCUGUCGUCAGCUCGUGUCGUGAGAUGUUGGGUUAAGUCCCGCAACGAGCGCAACCCUCAUCUUCAGUUGCCAUCAGGUUAUGCUGGGCACUCUGAAGGAACUGCCGGUGACAAGCCGGAGGAAGGCGGGGAUGACGUCAAGUCCUCAUGGCCUUUAUGGGCUGGGCUACACACGUGCUACAAUGGCGGUGACAGAGGGACGCGAAGGGGCAACCCCUAGCCAAUCUCAAAAAGCCGUCUCAGUUCGGAUUGUCCUCUGCAACUCGAGGGCAUGAAGCUGGAAUCGCUAGUAAUCGCGGAUCAGAACGCCGCGGUGAAUACGUUCCCGGGCCUUGCACACACCGCCCGU